rnacentral:rRNA from 1 species
UCGGAACGUGCCCAGUCGUGGGGGAUAACGCAGCGAAAGCUGUGCUAAUACCGCAUACGAUCUACGGAUGAAAGCGGGGGAUCGCAAGACCUCGCGCGAUUGGAGCGGCCGAUGGCAGAUUAGGUAGUUGGUGGGGUAAAGGCUCACCAAGCCGACGAUCUGUAGCUGGUCUGAGAGGACGACCAGCCACACUGGGACUGAGACACGGCCCAG